UCAUAACGGAGGAAAGAAACCAACAGGGAUUGCCUCAGUAACGGCGAGUGAAGCGGCAACAGCUCAAAUUUGAAAUCUGGCCCCUUCGGGGUCCGAGUUGUAAUUUGCAGAGGGUGCUUUUGGUGUUGGCCGUGGUCUAAGUUCCUUGGAACAGGACGUCACAGAGGGUGAGAAUCCCGUACGUGGCCGCCGGCCCUCGCCUUGUAAAGCCCCUUCGACGAGUCGAGUUGUUUGGGAAUGCAGCUCUAAAUGGGAGGUAAAUUUCUUCUAAAGCUAAAUACCCGCCAGAGACCGAUAGCGCACAAGUAGAGUGAUCGAAAGAUGAAAAGCACUUUGGAAAGAGAGUGAAAAAGCACGUGAAAUUGUUGAAAGGGAAGCGCUUGCGGCCAGACGUGCCCGCGGUUGUUCAUCUGGGCUCUCGCCCGGUGCACUCCUCCGCGGGCAGGCCAGCAUCAGUUUGGGCGGUCGGACAAAGGUCUCUAUCACGUACCACCCCUCGGGGUGGCCUUAUAGGGGAGACGCAACACGGCCAGCCUGGACUGAGGUUCCGCGCAUCUGCUAGGAUGCUGGCGUAAUGGCAGCAAGCGGCCCGUCUUGAAACACGGACCAAGGAGUCUAACAUCUAUGCGAGUGUUUGGGUGUCAAGCCCGAGCGCGUAAUGAAAGUGAACGGAGGUGGGAACCCCUCGGGGCGCACCAUCGACCGAUCCUGAUGUCUUCGGAUGGAUUUGAGUAAGAGCAUAGCUGUUGGGACCCGAAAGAUGGUGAACUAUGCCUGAAUAGGGUGAAGCCAGAGGAAACUCUGGUGGAGGCUCGCAGCGGUUCUGACGUGCAAAUCGAUCGUCAAAUUUGGGCAUAGGGGCGAAAG
rnacentral:rRNA from 1 species